rnacentral:rRNA from 1 species
AUUGAACGCUGGCGGCAGGCCUAACACAUGCAAGUCGAACGCGUGGCGGACGGGUGAGUAAUGUCUGGGAAACUGCCUGAUGGAGGGGGAUAACUACUGGAAACGGUAGCUAAUACCGCAUACCAUCAGAUGUGCCCAGAUGGGAUUAGCUUGUGGGUGGGGUAACGGCUCACAAAGGCGACGAUCCCUAGCUGGUCUGACAGGAUGACCAGCCAGACUGGAACUGAGACACGGUCCAGAUUCCUACUGUAUGCAGCAGUGGGGAAUAUUGCACAAUGGGCGCAAGCCUGAUGCAGCCAUUCCGCGUGUAUGAAGAAGGCCUUCGGGUUUUAAAGUACUUUCAGCGGGGAGGCGUUACCCGCAGAAGAAGCACCGGCUAACUCCGUGCCAGCAGCCGCGGUAAUAC